rnacentral:rRNA from 1 species
AUAUGGUCAAGUGAAGAAGCGCAUACGGUGGAUGCCUUGGCAGUCAGAGGCGAUGAAAGACGUGGUAGCCUGCGAAAAGCUUCGGGGAGUCGGCAAACAGACUUUGAUCCGGAGAUGUCUGAAUGGGGGAACCCAGCCAUCAUAAGAUGGUUAUCUUACGCUGAAUACAUAGGCGUAAGAGGCGAACCAGGGGAACUGAAACAUCUAAGUACCUUGAGGAAAAGAAAUCAACCGAGAUUCCCUUAGUAGUGGCGAGCGAACGGGGACUAGCCCUUAAGUGGCUUUGAGAUUAGCGGAACGCUCUGGAAAGUGCGGCCAUAGUGGGUGAUAGCCCUGUACGCGAAAAUCUCUUAGUCAUGAAAUCGAGUAGGACGGAGCACGAGAAACUUUGUCUGAAUAUGGGGGGACCAUCCUCCAAGGCUAAAUACUACUGACUGACCGAUAGUGAACUAGUACCGUGAGGGAAAGGCGAAAAGAACCCCGGAGAGGGGAGUGAAAUAGAUCCUGAAACCGUAUGCGUACAAGCAGUGGGAGCCCACUUUGUUGGGUGACUGCGUACCUUUUGUAUAAUGGGUCAGCGACUUAUUUUCAGUGGCGAGCUUAACCGAAUAGGGGAGGCGUAGCGAAAGCGAGUCUUAAUAGGGCGUCUAGUCGCUGGGAAUAGACCCGAAACCGGGCGAUCUAUCCAUGGGCAGGUUGAAGGUUGGGUAACACUAACUGGAGGACCGAACCGACUACCGUUGAAAAGUUAGCGGAUGACCUGUGGAUCGGAGUGAAAGGCUAAUCAAGCUCGGAGAUAGCUGGUUCUCCUCGAAAGCUAUUUAGGUAGCGCCUCAUGUAUCACUGUAGGGGGUAGAGCACUGUUUCGGCUAGGGGGUCAUCCCGACUUACCAAACCGAUGCAAACUCCGAAUACCUACAAGUGCCGAGCAUGGGAGACACACGGCGGGUGCUAACGUCCGUCGUGAAAAGGGAAACAACCCAGACCGUCAGCUAAGGUCCCAAAGUUAUGGUUAAGUGGGAAACGAUGUGGGAAGGCUUAGACAGCUAGGAGGUUGGCUUAGAAGCAGCCACCCUUUAAAGAAAGCGUAAUAGCUCACUAGUCGAGUCGGCCUGCGCGGAAGAUGUAACGGGGCUCAAACCAUACACCGAAGCUACGGGUAUCACCCUCGGGUGAUGCGGUAGAGGAGCGUUCUGUAAGCCUGUGAAGGUGAG